rnacentral:lncRNA from 7 species
AUGGUGCCUUCAGUCUUUAAGGAUUGUUGGACUCCUCUAAUCGGUGGUGUGAGGCCUGUGGAGCAGCUAAUGGAACAUCACGACUAUGCUGACUUCCCCAGGGUCUUACGGUCAUUUCUGUUUCACCAGCAGAUCUGGGUGGCAGCAGAGAGCUGCAGCGCUCCCGAGUGCUGUAAGGACUGCACGGAGAGACGUGCGGGUCUUCACGGAACAGCAAGGAACCGAAAGCUGCAUUUCCUGGAUGCCCUGGAACCCCACUUUGCUGACUGGUAAUUGUCUGCCCAGCAGGUAAGGACAAUGCACACCCACCAGUGUUUACCGCUUACUCAGUGAGACACAAGGUGGAGUUCCCAGAGCUCCUUUCUGCACUUCAGGGUGCCCCGAAGGCUGCCCCGUCCUAUUCUUUGCACGUUCU